rnacentral:lncRNA from 1 species
AGAUGAAUUGUGCUCAUCUAGAGAAUUGUCUUCAUGAAGCGAGAGAGGAAGCUCAAACCCAUCUAUGUGCAGCUGAUAGAAGGGCUUCUGAGUAUAGUGCUUUGCGUGCUUCUGCUGUUAAAAUGCGCAGCCUCUUCGAAAGAUUGAGAGCAUGUGUGUUGUCCGGUGGUGUAGCUGGUUUGCCUGAGUCCUUGCGGCUUCUGCUGUUAAAAUGCGCAGCCUCUUUGAAAGAUUGAGAGCAUGUGUGUUGUCCGGUGGUGUAGCUGGUUUGCCUGAGUCCUUGCGUGCAUUAUCUCAAUCUUUAGCCAAGUAAGCUCUCGCAGUUCACUCUGCUUUAUACAUUGUUUUGUGAUGCAUGACAAAAACUUACUAAUUUGUAAAAUACUUUUGUAGUUCGUGGUCAUAAAAUGUUUAAGAUGCAAGAUCCAUCGGGAAAUAACGAAGGUGUGAACAUGGUUAGCUCAAGUGAAAAGUUACAGAAUAACACCAUCUAACAUAAUCGCUUAUUAAAUAAUUGGAUUAGCUCUCCUUCUCCUACCGGAAAAUGACAAACAACAACAACAACAACUACCCAGUACAUUCCCACCAGGUGGGGUCUGGGGAGGGUAAUAUGUAGACGAGCCUUACCCCUACCCGGAAGGGCAGGGAG